GAUGAACGCUGGCGGCGUGCCUAAUACAUGCAAGUCGAGCGAACAGACGAGGAGCUUGCUCCUCUGACGUUAGCGGCGGACGGGUGAGUAACACGUGGAUAACCUACCUAUCAGACUGGGAUAACUUCGGGACAGCGGAGCUAAUACCGGAUAAUAUAUUGAACCGCAUGGUUCAAUAGUGAAAGACGGUGUUGCUGUCACUUAUAGAUGGAUCCGCGCCGCAUUAGCUAGUUGGUAAGGUAACGGGUUACCAAGGCGACGAUGCGUAGCCGACCUGAGAGGGUGGUCGGCCACACUGGAACUGAGACACGGUCCAGACUCCUACGGGAGGCAGCAGUAGGGAAUCUUCCGCAAUGGGCGAAAGCCUGACGGAGCAACGCCGCGUGAGUGAUGAAGGUCUUCGGAUCGUAAAACUCUGUUAUUAGGGAAGAACAAAUGUGUAAGUAACUAUGCACGUCUUGACGGUACCUAAUCAGAAAGCCACGGCUAACUACGUG
rnacentral:rRNA from 1 species